rnacentral:rRNA from 1 species
AUUGAACGCUAGCGGGAUGCUUUACACAUGCAAGUCGAACGAGUGGCGGACGGGUGAGUUAUUUCUCGGCACGCGCCCAGUAGCGGGGGAUCACUCCUCGAACGAAUGGCUCAUACCGCAUACUAUUGUAGCGGCCGAUAUCGUAUUCGCUUGUUGGUGGGGUAAAGGCUCACCAAGGCAACGCUCCGUAGCUGGUGUUAGAGGACGACCAGCCACACUGGGACUGGGACACGGCCCAGAAUCCUACGGGAGGCAGCAGUGGGGAAUUUUGGACAAUGGGCGAAACCCUGAUCCAGCCAUCCCGCGUGUAUGAAAAGGCCUUCGGGUUGUAAAGUACUUUUGGCAGAGAAGCGGUAUUUGCAGAAUAAGCACCGGCUAACUACGUGCCAGCAGCCGCGGUAAUAC